rnacentral:rRNA from 1 species
UACGUAGGGGGCAAGCGUUGUCCGGAUUUAUUGGGCGUAAAGAGCGUGUAGGCGGCCAGGUAGGUCUGCUGUGAAAACUCGAGGCUUAACCUCGAGCUGUCGGCGGAAACCAUCUGGCUAGAGUCCGGAAGAGGAGAAUGGAAUUCCCGGUGUAGCGGUGAAAUGCGCAGAUAAUCGGGAGGAACACCGGUGGCGAAGGCGGUUCUCUGGGCCGUGUU